rnacentral:rRNA from 1 species
AAGUACCGGAGUAACUGCCGGUACCUUGACGGUACCUAACCAGAAAGCCACGGCUAACUACGUGCCAGCAGCCGCGGUAAUACGUAGGUGGCAAGCGUUGUCCGGAAUUAUUGGGCGUAAAGCGCGCGCAGGCGGUCUCUUAAGUCUGAUGUGAAAGCCCCCGGCUCAACCGGGGAGGGUCAUUGGAAACUGGGAGACUUGAGUGCAGAAGAGAAGAGCGGAAUUCCACGUGUAGCGGUGAAAUGCGUAGAGAUGUGGAGGAACACCAGUGGCGAAGGCGGCUCUUUGGUCUGUAACUGACGCUGAGGCGCGAAAGCGUGGGGAGCGAACAGGAUUAGAUACCCUGGUAGUCCACGCCGUAAACGAUGAGUGCUAAGUGUUAGAGGGUUUCCGCCCUUUAGUGCUGCAGCAAACGCAUUAAGCACUCCGCCUGGGGAGUACGGCCGCAAGGCUGAAACUCAAAGGAAUUGACGGGGGCCCGCACAAGCGGUGGAGCAUGUGGUUUAAUUCGAAGCAACGCGAAGAACCUUACCAGGUCUUGACAUCCUUUGCCACUCCUAGAGAUAGGAUUUUCCCCUUCGGGGGACAAAGUGACAGGUGGUGCAUGGUUGUCGUCAGCUCGUGUCGUGAGAUGUUGGGUUAAGUCCCGCAACGAGCGCAACCCUUGUUCUUAGUUGCCAGCAUU